UUAAACCGACUCGACCCCUUCCCAAACACUGAUAACACAAAAGAAGCAAGAAGCCUAAGGCGUUACUGUUCUUCUUAUCCAACACGCCUAAAUUCGUCCCCAAACUCGCCUAAAGUCAGGCGAGUGAAUCCAAUCUCCAACCACGCGUUCCUUCCUUCUCUCCUGUUGCCAUUUCUAACGAUGUCUGACACCAAAGAUUCUUCUCCUUCUCACUCGCUCGAAUUUAAGAUAUAGCACGUGACUGGAAGGUUCUGAGAAGAUUCGUUGAAUGAGUGUGAGGAGUUGGAUUGAUUUCGCUCAAUCCGAGCCCUACAUUCAUCAGGGGUUCAUUUUCAAAAAGGGACCUCAUUCGAUUUUGAGGGCAGAAAAUUUUGGGGCGAAAAAUUGGAGAGGGAAAAAGUUUGGAGGAUUUUUCAGCUUCUAAUCUCUCUGGUUCGAAGAAGUAUAUACAUAUUUUUAAAAUUUCUCAAUCCGGCUUUGAGUUCCAAAUAGGUGAAAAAUGAAUUGAAGUUCAAGUUCGUCGACUUGGCUUUCUGCUAUUGUCCUGCUAAUUUGCUGCUUAACUUCACUAGGAUUUGGAGUCAAAAGGUGUAUUGUUGAGUAUAUAAUUAUUAAUAGAAGUUUAAAAUUUCAGGUUCAAUCUCUUUCUCUUCUAUAUCUCUUUUUUAAGGUGUUAUUGAGCCAUGGGGAUUUGUUUCUAGAAUGGUAUUUUCUUUGUUCAAAUUUCAUGUAGGAGUCGAACUUGGAAUUAUCGUUUAGUUUCGAUUUGUAUUCGAAAGUGAUGUUUGAUACAUUGUUUCUUGCUAAUGAAUCUGUUUUCACUAGUUCGGCACGCUGGCCAUUUUCAGUCAAUAAGAGCAGAUUUGAGUAGUCGUUUUCCAUUCCAUGUAUGCUGUGACUGUUAUUACGGGCUCGAAAUAUAGUUUGAGUCAAGAUUUCAUCGCCUUCAAAUUAACAAUGUGUACAACUUUUUUGAUUGUUAAGCGAGCAUGGAACUGUGAUGUUUAUUCUCAUGAUGUUUGUUUUAUGGACUUUAAGUGAUUUGUUCUUGUGAAAUCUUCCUCAUUUACUAGAAGCUUCAAACUAGAAUCACCAUCUUUACUGGAACAAUUGGUUUUUCAAAGUGUUGUUGGUCAGAAUUUUUGGUCAUGUUGUUAAGGAACGAUUGCAUCAUAAGAUGAGCUUUUCUUGUGCUUCUUCUGUCACAUAUGAUAUAUUUUCAUAUUCAAGUUAAUCUGCUUAUAUCUUCUGUCUUGGUCUCAAUAUAUUCGACAUGAUUCAUUGAAGAGUUUCCCCUUUCUCUGAUUUCAUGAUCAUUUUCGCAUGUUUUGCUGGUUUGAAGCUGAUAAAGUUCUCCUAUGAUAAUAUUUGCUCCUUGAGGCUCACCAUUUUGAAAGGAUCAAUGAGUGUCCAUGCUUUCUUUCAGCAUGUAAAUUCUGUCACUAAGCUUCUUAAAACAGAAUUAAAUGUGAAACUUGUGUUGUAGUGUGUUUGUUUUCUUUAAAAAUCAGUUUGUAUUUGCUAGUCGAGCUAUGUGCCUUUGUGUCUUAUUUUCCUAGCAAGUCACUUUUUUGUAUGGCUG
rnacentral:lncRNA from 1 species